rnacentral:piRNA from 1 species
UCAAACGAAACAACGGUAAUAACUGGC